GCAACGGUGGAAGCACCUCUGUGAUGUUUAAGAAGUGGGGGGGGAAAAAGAAUCAGGAAAAGCUGAGAGGAUGGUGCUGUGAGAGAAGCAAUCGUGGACACUGAAGGCAGAGAAGAAGGAGGGGAUAGAGGUGCAUUGGCAGAGAUUCCCCUGCAGCCUCUGGUGAAGACCACAGUAAGGCAGGCUGUCCGCUUGCAGUCUAUGAGGGUUAGUGGUGGAGCUCAUGGACAUUAAUAAUAGAGCCAAUAUCCACUUACAGCCCAUGGAGGUUAGUAGCAUUGCAGUGGCAGGGGAGUGAAAGACACACGAGUGGUGAACAAUAAUAAUGAAGGCAGAGAACUCCACCACCUCCCUGAGCAGCCUGUUCCAAUUGCUGACCACUCUUGCAGCAAAGAAAUUGUUCCAAAUAUCCAACCUGGUACAGUUUUAGGCCAUUUCCUCUCAUUCUGUCACCUGAUGCUUGGAAAAAAAAGACCAGCACCCUCCUAACUUCAGUCUCCUUUCAAGGAGUUGUAGAGAGCAAGGACAUUACCCCUCAGCCUCCUCUUCUCCAUACUAAAUGAUCCCAGUUCCCUCAGCUGCUCCUCAUAAGACAUCAGGAGAAAGGCUUCUACUCUUCCUUCCCCAGCUUUGUUAUUUGUGCCACAUUCACAUCUAACCUUCAGGACUCAGCAGCACCUUCAGGAGUACUCCGUGCUGAUGCCCUUUUGCUUACUCAACUGUCAUAAGCAGUCAAUCCAUGCAAAGAAAGAGCUCUGCAGAGGAAUCUAGGCCAAGAUGACGACAACAACAACAACAACAAAAAAGAGCAACUUCCUCACUUUUGCCUUCCCUAUAACAAACCUACCAAAAUGCUGCUUGUUUAUUACACCUUUAGAAACCAAAAUGCUUCACUCUGUGGAUUUACUCUGGAAAGAAGAUGAAAGAUGUGCAUGUGGCAGGUUUUACCACACUGAUGCGUGCAGCAUUGUGCAGUGCUCAGAUGUCAUGUCCUAAGCAUAAUGUAAGGAGUAAAAUGGGUACUGAACUCUCCUGAAAGUCUGACUUGAAGUCUAUAUUUAGGCAUCUAAGUGACCUGCUUUCAUUCAAAGACGCUGACUGUUCAGCUGCUUCCAUUGACGGCAGCAGAAACGCAAAGGGUUUUUGGUGCUGUUGAAUCUAAGCACAAAAAUUACAGUUGAGUCUGCCUGUGACUCCUAAGUAACUCCUUGCUAAAACAACCAAAAAAAAAAAUAAUAAAAAAGAAAGGAUGACAGA